GUCCAGGGUAGCCUAGUGGACAUGGCAUCUGCCAUGUAAGCGGAACACUUUGAGUUCGAUUCCCCUCCACGGACA
rnacentral:tRNA from 1 species